AAUAUAACACAUGCUUUUAGAAAUCUAUUUACUCCUGAAGUUGAUUUUUUAUUGAAUUGAUUUUUAUUUAGUUCCCCACCCAAAUAGGGUAUCAUGGGCCUAACGGUUUAAGCAUGAGAGUGCAAUGUACGAUUCACACACACAACAAUUUUUUAAAUCGACAAACCAUGAAAAUAUGUGACUGAAUAUAUAAUUUUUUUGGGAUUUUAUGACAUUUCAAAAAUAAAUUUUCAUGCGCGGAGCACGUGCUCCUGGGAGCCCAAAUGGAUUUCCUAUGUUUUCUAUAGCUUCAUACUCAUCAGACAUAUACUGUAUUAUGCAAUAAAGAAUAUCCAAAAAUCUUAAUAAUUUGAAUUAAAAUUUAACUUUCAAUGGGUUCUUUAUAUUAUUCACAACCUAAAGCACUCCUUGACUGACUUGAUAAAAAAAUGACGCCCGUCGGACACACACACGCACACGUCGUGGCCACACACACCACUGACACACACUCUCAUCUUGCUCCCGGACAAGCAGCGCCUCCGCCCUCCCCACUGCAUCCCGCCGCCGGCACAGGGACCCUCCCUUGCUGCGUGCUGCUUCGGCAGGGACUGCCCCUCUGCCUCGCCAGUCCCCAUCGCUGCUGAGAUGGCCGCCCUUCUCUUGCCUCUCCACCUCCGUCGGCGGAGGCGCAGACUUCCUCUCCACCAGAUCCUCGGUCGUGGACUCGACAUGAGAGCUGGAGGGCUCCCCUACGCCUACCUCCUCCUCCCGCGGGACAAGACGCAGAAUCGGAGCGAGCGCCGAGGAGCGCCGGCUAGGACGCCUUGCUCCGAUGGGUUGGGCGUGUCGCGAGCCUCACCGUGGCCAAGUACCACAUGCUCCAGAGUGGAUGGUCGACGCCCUCCCCACCUGGCCACCUCACCCGUGACUGGUUUAGCUCUGACAGAAUCAAGUCAAUCAACUAUGGGACAGGUACAGUAUGCAGUUGGGUUCUAGUGUUUAGCUACAGUGCAGGGAAGCAAGCUUGGAUUCACUGGAUGAUGUAUACACACCAAGUGCACCUUGCUUUCAUAAUAGCAAGCAACCUCAUAUUGAGGUACGUUCUCUUCGCUUGCAGCCUUUUUAAGAGUUUGGUUUUUCCAGUUAGUCUCUUCUGAUGGUGAUGCUUGAUAAGUGGUGUUUAUCAGCGUGUUGUCUCAGAAAAUCGCUUUCUCCGGUGGUUGAUAAUUUUAGCUCUAUAUGCUUGUGUUGCAAACAGCAGAAGCAACUGGACAACCAUUUGUUUCAUAAACUCAAACCAUUGAACUUAAAAACAUCACCUUCCGCAGCUGGUGUGUAUCGCAGUUGAGUGAAAGCAGAUUGCCCAGUGGGCUUCUCCGCAGUGUGAAAAUCUGUCAGAAAGAAUUGAUCAUAGAUAUGAUUAUACUUGUGACUGCUACAUCAUAAAGAACAGAAAAAAUGGACAAACCAGGUGAUAUGGCCACGGGUGUCUUAGAUGGAGUGCGCUUUCAAUUUAGAAAGGAGAUGUAGCUUUGUUAUUAUCCCUUGCCUCGUGUCUUCUUUUUAAUAUCUCAUCCCUGUUUAGUGCAUACCUCUCCUUUCCCUUUGUUUCUUUAAUUCUUUUGGAUCUGCUUUUUGACCUGUCUCCAAGAAAAUCUUCAGGAUCUAUAAGGUCCAAGUAGGUAAGAGUUGGUGAUAUAUUUAUUUACCCUGGGUAAAUAGCAAAUCAAGUAAAUAAGAAAGUCUUGUACAUCUCAUUUUGGAAAUUUCAGAAAUGAUCAAGAGGUGAAGUCCACUUUGAUUUUUACCUUGUGCAGACUUAGGUUUGUUGUAGGUCCUUGUAAUCAUGGUUUUCUUUAAAAAAAAUCAUACAUCAUCGAACCAUGCUGAACUCACGUGUACAGAGUAUGCUGUCAUCAUCUUACAUAGCAUCUUCUAUAAAUCGUACACAAAAUUUCGGAAUCUGAACUACACAACUUUGAAACAAACUGAAAAGUUAUCAGCAUCUGCACUAAACAUUGGUAAGUUAGCUUUAGGAGAAACAUACUCAAAGAAUAUCUGAGUUGGCCGUUAUUCAUCUUGACAGUAAGGCACGAUAGUCAUUAAAUUCGUAUUACGAUUCUUCAUGCCAACACUACAACCUACAACAGUAAAUCAUAUAUAUAACUAUGUCCGAAACUUGACAUCAUACAAUGUGGAAGAAGGAAUUAAAUUGCCAAAAAUAUAU